GACGUAGGGCGCGAGCGUUGUCCGGAUUUAUUGGGCGUAAAGAGCUCGUAGGCGGCUUGUCGCGUCGUCUGUGAAAUCCCGCGGCUCAACCGCGGGUCUGCAGUCGAUACGGGCAGGCUAGAGUUCGGUAGGGGAGACUGGAAUUCCUGGUGUAGCGGUGAAAUGCGCAGAUAUCAGGAGGAACACCGAUGGCGAAGGCAGGUCUCUGGGCAUUAACUGACGCUGAGGAGCGAAAGCAUGGGGGAGCGAACAGG
rnacentral:rRNA from 1 species